UUUAAAGGUCACUCAGCAUCAU
rnacentral:piRNA from 1 species